UAGGGAAUCUUCCGCAAUGGACGAAAGUCUGACGGAGCAACGCCGCGUGAGUGAAGAAGGAUUUCGGUUCGUAAAACUCUGUUGUUAGGGAAGAAAAAAUGUAUAGUAACUAUAUACAAAAGAGACGGUACCUAACCAGAAAGCCACGGCUAACUACGUGCCAGCAGCCGCGGUAAUACGUAGGUGGCAAGCGUUGUCCGGAAUUAUUGGGCGUAAAGCGCGCGCAGGUGGUUUAGAAAGUCUGAUGUGAAAGCCCACGGCUCAACCGUGGAGGGUCAUUGGAAACUAAUAAACUUGAGUGCAGGAGAGAAAAGUGGAAUUCCUAGUGUAGCGGUGAAAUGCGUAGAGAUUAGGAGAAACACCGGUGGCGAAAGCGGCUUUUUGGCCUGCAACUGACACUGAGGCGCGAAAGCGUGGGGAGCAAACAGG
rnacentral:rRNA from 1 species